UCUAGCGUGCGCGCGAGUCAUUGGGUGUAAAACCUAAAGGCGCAAUGAAAGUGUCAGGGGUGACUCCUUUAGGAGCGCAUCCCGUUGGGAGGAUGGGCCGCCGUACGAUCACUCGUCGGAGCCCCGCACUCCCGGGGCGUCUCGUUCUCAUCACGAGUGGAGACGCACCAGGAGCGCACACGCUGGUACCCGAAAGAUGGUGAACUAUGCCUGGCCAGGACGAAGCCAGGGGAAACCCUGGUGGAGGUCCGAAGCGAUUCUGACGUGCAAAUCGAUCGUCUGAGCUGGGUAUAGGGGCGAAAGACCAAUCGAC
rnacentral:rRNA from 1 species